GUGAAAUCCCCAAUCUAUGCAAUAGCCUUACAGCAUAGAGCCUAAUCCUCCUGCAUAUUGUACAAGGUUACUCCCUUAACAGUAUGAAGCCAGGUGAAGUCGUAAUACGUGAGAGUCGUAUGCGGGGUUCCUUAAA
rfam:Tissierella praeacuta DSM 18095 genome assembly, contig: EK13DRAFT_scaffold00013.13